CUACAACUGUGACAUCAGCGGUCAUGGAGAGUCUCCAUCCAGCUGGAUCACUGUCACAGCUAAACCAUCAACCACAGCCUCACCCACUACCCUUCCCAUGACCACCUCUAGAGCACCUCCAUCGCUUGUCUCCACCCCUUUCCAGGUUGUGACUACAGUCUGCCACCUGCUGUUGUUCUUUUCGCACUUACUUCAUCUUCACUGUGCUCAUGCCACAGAAAACACCCUACCUGUCUCCAUGGUGACGACCCAUGUACUGAAGACGAAGGUUCGAUGGCAAGAAUGAGAGUAUAAUUUCUAAACUGUGCCAAUGAAGAUGGAAAUUUAUAUUGCAACUCUAUGAAACUUAAUUAGCUGAAUAGACGGCUUGUCUAGUUUUACAUACUUUAUGACAAGGUUGUCCAAGUCCAGGCAUCGAGGGCCAGCGUCCUGCAGGUUUUAGAUCUCACCCUGGGUCAACACACCUGAAUCAAAUGAUCAGUUCAUUACCAGGCCUCUGGAGAACUUCAAGACAUAUUGAGGAGGUCAUUAGCCAUUUGAAUCAGCUGUGUUGGAUCAAGGACACAUCUAAAACCUGCAGGACACCGGCUCUUGAAACCUGGACUUGGACACCCCUGCUUUAUGGCAAUCAAAAUGAAAGAGCUGAAUCUGGAAAUAUUACAAAAAAUAUCUUUUAUAUCCAGCAAAGCAGGUCAAGAGUUUGACAUUUUGAUGAAAAUAUACUAUUUGCAAGAUUGCACAGGAAUCUAUUACUUGUGAUUAUGAUUUACAGCUUUACAUACUGUCUAAUUUUAAAAUGUACAAGUCAGUUGUUAGAAUUUAUGAGGAAUGUUUCUCUGGAGAAAUCAGUGUUUUAUUUUAUUUAUUUCUAUAUUGUUAUUACUUGCUGUUAACGAAAAAAGCCACUUUUUAAUCAUACACAUGUUCAGCCCGUCCCAAUAAAAUGCAUAUCUGCUGUUUUUAUUA